rnacentral:rRNA from 1 species
AUGAACGCUGGCGGCGUGCCUAAUACAUGCAAGUCGAGCGAACAGUUGAGGAGCUUGCUCCUCUGACGUUAGCGGCGGACGGGUGAGUAACACGUGGAUAACUUACCUAUAAGACUGGGAUAACUUCGGGAAACCGGAGCUAAUACCGGAUAAUAUAUUGAACCGCAUGGUUCAAUAGUGAAAGACGGUUUUGCUGUCACUUAUAGAUGGAUCCGCGCCGCAUUAGCUAGUUGGUAAGGUAACGGCUUACCAAGGCAACGAUGCGUAGCCGACCUGAGAGGGUGAUCGGCCACACUGGAACUGAGACACGGUCCAGACUCCUACGGGAGGCAGCAGUAGGGAAUCUUCCGCAAUGGGCGAAAGCCUGACGGAGCAACGCCGCGUGAGUGAUGAAGGUCUUCGGAUCGUAAAACUCUGUUAUUAGGGAAGAACAAAUGUGUAAGUAACUAUGCACGUCUUGACGGUACCUAAUCAGAAAGCCACGGCUAACUACGUG